UACAAUGUAAACAAACAGCUGAUCACGGGUCCGGAGCGAGGCAAGGAGAUAAAAAUAAUAAUAAACGAAGGAAAUAGAGGAAAUAGAAGGACGACAGCAGGCAGAGAGGGGCAGGAGAAGUAGCAGAAUCAGGGAAAGGCGUAUUGGUGCCAGUAAAUAAGGUGGACUUGGAAUCUCUCAGGGGAAACUACAUGUAGUAAUUGAAUUAAAAUGGCUAGAACCAGAGGAUGGGGUUGUGCGUCCCCGGGAGUUCAGAGGGUGCCGGCGCUUCAACUGAUGGUGUGGACCCAUGAGACAGAGGCUCCACCAGGGUAACAGGGACGUGAGGGGUCUCCAGCAGCAUGCCUGAAGAUACUUGUGUGUGGACGAGGGACACACACUCAAGAACCACAAGUCCCUGAACACCUUUCCCCCAUGAACUGGCUGCUGUUUACUGGGACACCCUUGCAGAACAGCCUGGCGGAGCUCUGGGCCCUUCUGAACUUCCUAAUGCUGGAUAUUUUUGGUUCAAUGUGAGUGAGAUGCAGGAGGGAAGUGAGGAGAGGACUCUGAGGCAGGAAUGGGAGGGCCAGGCCAUCUCCACUCUAAUGAAGAUAAGAGAGAGGGAAUGUGGGUGUGUUUGGGAGUGUUUUGGUGGCUUUGGGUAGGUUUGGGUGUGUUGUGGGAGUUUUUUAUGAUUAUUUAAAGAGGUUUUUUUGGGCUGGAGAGGAGUUUUUUUGGGCUGGAGAGGAGUUUUUUGGGCUGGAGAGGAGUUUUUUGGGCUGGAGAGGAGUUUUUGGGCUGGAGAGGAGUUUUUGGGCUGGAGAGGAGUUUUUUGGGCUGGAGAGAAUUUUUUUGGGUCUGGAGAGGAGCUUUUUGGGCUGGAGAGAAAUGUUUUGGGCUGGAGAGAAGGUUUUGUGGGCUGGAGGGAAGUUUUGUGGGCUGGAGGGAAGUUUUUGGGCUGGAGAGGAGUUUUUGGGCUGGAGAGGAGUUUUUGGGCUGGAGAGGAUCGUUUCAGGUCAGGUGGUUAAACACUACCGUCUAUCUAGUGGCUAUUGUAGGCUGUAUCUCUCUCUCUCUCUCUCUCUCUCUCUCUCUCUCUCUCUCUCUCUCUCUCUCUCUCUCUCUCUCUCUCUCUCUCUCUCUCUCUC